GGACCUACACAAGCGGUGGAUCACGUGGCUUAAUUCGAUAGUAAGCGAGGAACCUUACCAGGGCUUGAAAGGUUAAUGAAAGCAUUUCGAAAGAUUUGCCUACCCACAAGGACAUUAACCCAGGUGCUGCAUGGUUGUCGUCAGCAGGUGGCUUGAGUUGCUCCCUUAAAUGGGGUAACCUGCGCAACCCUUGCUCUAUGUUUCAUGUGUCAUAGAGGACUGCCUGGGACAACCAGGAGGAAGGUGAGGAUGACGCCAAAUCAGCAUGGCCCUUUGAUGUCCUGGGCUGCACACGUAAUACAAUGGGAUUGACAACGGGAAGCGAAAGAGUAAUCUGGAGCAAAUCCUAUCAAACAAUCCCCCAAUUCGGAUUGAGGUCUGAAACCCGACCUCAUGAAGCCGGAAUCGCUAGUAACCGCAGAUCAGCCAUGCUGCGGUGAAUAUGUCCCUGGGUCUU
rnacentral:rRNA from 1 species